CAAGAGCGUAUGUAAAAGUUGUCGCAGUUAAAAAGCUCGUAGUUGAACCUUGGGUUUGGUUGGCCGGUCCGCUUUUUUGCGAGUACUGGAUUCAACCGAGCCUUUCCUUCUGGCUAACCAGUCGUUUCGGCGGCUGGCGAACCAGGAUUUUUACUUUGAGAAAAUUAGAGUGUUCAAAGCAGGCAUUAGCUUGAAUAUAUUAGCAUGGAAUAAUAGAAUAGGACGUUAUGGUUCUAUUUUGUUGGUUUCUAGGACCAUCGUAAUGAUUAAUAGGGACGGUCGGGGGCAUCAGUAUUCAGUUGUCAGAGGUGAAAUUCUUGGAUUUACUGAAGACUAACUACUGCGAAAGCAUUUGCCAAGGACGUUUUCAUUAA
rnacentral:rRNA from 1 species